GAUGAACGCUGGCGGCGUGCUUAACACAUGCAAGUCGAACGGAAAGGCCCUGCUCUUGUGGGGUGCUCGUGUGCCGAACGGGUGAGUAACACGUGAGUAACCUGUCCUUGACUUUGGGAUAACUUCAGGAAACUGGGGCUAAUACCGGAUAGGAGCUCCUGCUGCAUGGUGGGGGUUGGAAAGUUUCGGCGGUUGGGGAUGGACUCGCGGCUUAUCAGCUUGUUGGUGGGGUAGUGGCUUACCAAGCGUUUGACGGGUAGCCGGCCUGAGAGGGUGACCGGGCACAUGGGGACUGCGGGAGGGAGCAGACGCCUACGGGAGGCAGCGGUGGAGAAUAUUGCGCAAUGGGCGGAAGCCUGAUACAGCAGCGCCGCGAGCGGAAUAACGGCUUACGAGUUGUAAACCGCUUUCGAAUGAAACGAAGCGUGAGUGACGGUAAUUAGUAAGAAAGCACCGGCUAACUACGUG
rnacentral:rRNA from 1 species